UUUACCAUAUAGUGUGUAGGAAUUUUUACAGACUCGUCCAAUUAUUUCUCUUCCCUGAAUGCAUGCACCAACCACUUUAUUUACUUCGCGAAACAGGUUACACUACAGCGACUUCUGGUCACAUGAUGUGAACUGCUUAGCAACGGGAAACGCUAAAUACUGUAUGUUUCUAAGCAAUGCAAAGAUCUGUUUGACAGCAUUUAAAGGGGUUUAAUUCAAUCUCGUAGAAAGAAAAAAUAACGUUUCCUACAUUAAUUUAGAAUGUUUUUAUAAUUCUGCAUACCGAAGAAAAGUCAUAUUGCAUUGCAAAACAUUUAGCUAUGGCUGGAAAAAAGAAAGAGUUGGCGCUGCAGAUGGCCAUUACCAACCAGGAACAAUGGGACGAAAUGCUUGCAAUGAAAGGGUUGAUUGCGGUGGACGUUUACCAGCUUUGGUGCGGGCCCUGCCGAGCUGUUGUCAGCCUCUUCCGGAAAAUCAAAAAUGAACUGGGAGAUGAACUCUUGCAUUUUGCCACGGCAGAGGCAGACAGCAUUGAUGCCCUUGAACGGUACCGUGGAAAAUGUGAACCUACAUUUCUCUUUUAUGGAGGAGGUCAGUUGGUGUCAGUUGUGCGUGGGGCCAAUGCUCCCCUCCUUCAGAAGACAGUUGUGGACCAGCUGGCAGCAGAGAAGAGAGUGUUGGAGCAGGGCAUUGAGCGCAAAGUGAUAAGAGAUGAAGGUCUGGUUGAAGAUAAAGAAGAGGAGGUGAUUAAAAAUGAGGAAACUGAGGAUGAUGUUCUUGUUCCUAUCAGCGAAUCAUACACUGUGGCCAUUAUUAAACCAGAUGCGGUUGCACAAGGAAAAGCACAUGAAAUUAUUAUGAAGGUUCAGGAAGCUGGAUUUGAGAUAUUAGCCCGUGAGGAAAGAACUCUGACUGAGACUGAGGUGCGGGAUUUCUACCAACACAAGAGUUCAGAGCCAUCCUUUGAAGAACUGGUACAGUUCAUGUCUAGUGGUCCCUCGCAUGUCUUAGUGGUAUCCAAGCCAGAGGGCUCUGAAGAUGUCAUCCCAGCAUGGAGAGAGUUCAUUGGCCCCACUGAUGUUGAGGAAGCCAGAAGGGAGAAGCCUGAGAGCUUGCGGGCCCAGUAUGGCACAGAGACUCUCUUUAACGCCAUCCACGGCAGUACUGACAGUGAACAGGCCAGCAAAGAGCUCGCUUUCUUCUUUCCCCACUUCAAAAUAGCUGCCGAAACAAACAUAAAUGACAAAGAGGAGGCUUCAGUGGAAAGGACGCUGGCCCUCAUCCGACCAGAAAUCGUAAAAGAGAAAAAAGGAGAGAUCCUGCAGCGGAUCCAGGAGUCAGGUUUCACCAUUGCCAUGCAGAAGGAAGUGAUGCUGACAGAGGAGCAGGUGCACCAAUUCUACAGUGACCAUGUGGGCAAGGACUACUUCCCAGCACUACUCAGCAAUAUGACCAGUGGUCCAGUUCUGGCACUUGCUCUUGCAAAGAAGGGAGCUGUGGAAACCUGGAGAAACAUCUUGGGACCUAAAGACAUUGAAAAGGCCAAAGAAGAGGCACCUGACAGCCUAAGAGCACAAUUCGUGGUUGAUAGUGUACCGAUAAACCAGUUCCAUGGCAGUGCCACCAGUGAAGAGGCAGCCAGGGAGCUCAGCUUCUUCUUCCCCAAGGAACAGACCCUGGCUGUCAUUAAACCAGAUGCAUUAAACGAACACAAAGAUGAAAUCUUAGGAAAAAUUCAGGAGGAAUGCUUCACAAUCUCCCAGAUGAAAGAGACCAUGUUAUCCAAAGAGAUGGCUGAGGAGUUCUACAAAGAACACAGAGGCAAGCCUUUCUUUGAGCAGCUGGUUGACUUCAUGUGUCGAGGUCCAUGCUUGGUGAUGAUUCUGAGCAAAGAGAAUGCAGUGGAGGAAUGGAGGGCCAUGAUGGGUCCCACAGACCCGAGGGAAGCCCAGCAGACAGCACCGAACUCACUGAGGGCUCGCUUUGCCAAAGACAUACUGCAGAACUCUGUCCAUGGCUCCUCCAACCAGAAACAUGCAAAUGAAAAGAUAAACUUCUUCUUUGGCGACAUCACAGAGGAGCUGGACAGACCCCUCCAAGGCAAAGAACCUGAACUUGAGAGAGUGGAUCAUUUGGAAAAAGCCCUAUGGAAUGUCCAGAAACAGGCCAAAUUCAGGAACCAAGAAGGCAUUCCAAAGAGAAACAAAACACAAGAAGGAAAAGGAAACUAGGAGUAACUCGGAGAAAAUAAUGAGAAAAAAAUAACAAGAAAAUAAACAAGGACUAAAAUAGAACAGGAGUAAGAUAAGACAGGACACAAGGUUCUCGAAAAACCAGGUGCAGAGGACAGAGAUGAACCAAUGCCCACAGAGGAUAAAGAGCAGCCUCAGGACACCAUGAGCCACAGUGAAGAAG